rnacentral:rRNA from 1 species
CUGUGAAUGGCCUAGAGUAGGGUCAGGCUCGAGAAACCUGGCCUGAACAUGGGGGGACCACCCUCCAAGCCUGAGUACUCCUUGACAACCGAUAGUGAACCAGUAAGGCGACUGAACGGUGAAAAGCACUCCUAUAAGGAGAGUGAAAAGUACCUGAAACCAUGUGCUUACACAGCGGUCACGGCCCGUAAGGGUUGUGGCGUGCCUUUUGCAUAAUGAGCUGGCGAGUUACUCUUUGCGGCAAGGCUAAGCCGUUACGCGGCGCAGCCGAAGGGAAACCGAGUCUGACAAGGGCGAAAAGUCGCAGGGGGUAGGCGCGAAACCGGUUGAUCUACCCAUGGGCAGGUUGAAGGGCGGGUAACACCGCCUGGAGGACCGAAGCCGUGAACGUUGAAAAGUUCUGGCAUGACCUGUGGGGAGGGCUUACAGUGCAAUCAUAACCGGAGAUAUCUCGUUCUCCUCGAAAUAGUUUUGGGACUAGCCUCAGCUAUGCAAGACACGGGGGUAGAGCUACUGAAUGGAUUCGAGGGCCUUCCCGGCUACUCAGUCCAAUCAAACUCCGAAUACCGUGUCUGAAGCGCUGGGAGUAAGUCUGCGGGCGAUAAUGUCCGUGGUCAAAAGGGAAACAACCCAGACCAUCUGAUAAGGCCCCUAAACGACACUCAGUUACUAAGGUAGUCAGAUUGCUGUGACAGCCAGGAUGUUGGCUUAGAAGCAGCCACCAUUUAAAAAGUGCGUAACAGCUUACUGGUCGAGGAAUCUGGCGCCGAUAAUUAUCGGGAAUAAGUGUCGUGCCGAAUCAGUGGACUCGAAAGAGUGGUAGAGGAGCGUCGCUAUCAGCGUUGAAGCUUUCCCGGCAAGGGUUGGUGGAGCGAUAGCAAGUGAAUAUGCCAGCUUGAGUAACGAUUAAUGGAGUGAGAAUCUCCAUCGCCGAAUACCCAAGGGUUCCCGGGCAAGGUCAAUCCGCCCGGGGUUAGGCGGAUCCUAAGGCAAGGCCGAAAGGCGUAGUCGAUGGACAGCCGGUCAAUAUUCCGGCCCCCUUGCAUGAGGUUCGAUGCGUGCGUGACGGAUCCCAAAGUUCAACCAGACUGUGAAGUGUCCAGGUUGGGUGGCGGGGUUCCAAGAAAAACCGCAACGCUACGAAUGCAAGGUCCGUACCAAAACUGACACAGGUGGGUGUGGUGAAUAACCUCAGGCGCUCGAGAAAACGGUCGUGAAGGAACUAGGCAAAUUGACCCCGUACGUUCGCAAUAAGGGGGCCCUACUCGCAAGAGAGGGCGCAGAGAAAAGGCUCUGGGAACUGUUUAUCAAAAACACAGCACAGUGCUAACUCGUAAGAGGACGUAUACUGUGUGACGCCUGCCCGGUGCUGGAACGUCAAAGAAGCUGGUUAGCGCAAGCGAAGCUAGCGACUGAAGCGCCAGUAAACGGCGGCCGUAACUCUGACGGUCCUAAGGUAGCGAAAUUCCUUGUCGGGUAAGUUCCGACGCGCAUCAAUGGCGUAAUCACUGGAGCACUGUCUCCACGACCGACUCGGUGAAAUAGUAGUGGCGGUGAAGAUGCCGCCUACCCGUGGCAAGACGGAAAGACCCCGUGGACCUUUACUGUACGCUUGCAGUGGUCAUGGAUUUGAACUGCGUAGGAUAGGUGGGAGACUUUGAAGUCCCGAUCUCGGUUGGGACGGAGUCAUUGGUGAAAUACCACCCUGUUUGGAUUCGUGGCCUAACCUGGAUACCCGUGAAGCCGGGCCAGGGACACUGCAUGCCGGGCAGUUUGACUGGGGCGGUCUCCUCCCAAACAUUAACGGAGGAGUGCAAAGGUUGGCUCAGCGCGGUUGGAAACCGCGCACAGAGUGCAAGAGCACAAGCCAGCUUUAGUGCGAGUCAUACAGGACCAGCACUCACGAAAGUGGGCUCUAGUGAUCCGGCGAUCCCGUGUGGAAGGGUCGUCGCUCAACGGAUAAAAGGUACCCCGGGGAUAACAGGCUGAUCGCUCCCGAGCGUCCAUAGCGGCGGAGCGGUUUGGCACCUCGAUGUCGGCUCUUCGCAUCCUGGGGCUGAAGGCGGUCCCAAGGGUUGGGCUGUUCGCCCAUUAAAGCGGAACGCGAGCUGGGUUCAGACCGGCGUGAGCCAGGUCGGUCCCUAUCUGUCAUGGGCGCAGGAAUACUGACGGGAUACAUCUUUAGUACGAGAGGAUUGGGAUGGACGUACCCCUGGUGUGCCAGUUGGACCGCUCGGUCCACAGCUGGGUAGCUAAGUACGGCAUU